UACAGAGGGUGCGAGCGUUAAUCGGAAUUACUGGGCGUAAAGGGCGCGUAGGCGGUUUAUCAAGUGAGAUGUGAAAUCCCCGGGCUUAACCUGGGAACUGCAUCUUAAACUGGUAAGCUGGAGUACUGUAGAGGACAGUGGAAUUUCCGGUGUAGCGGUGAAAUGCGUAGAGAUCGGAAGGAACAUCAGUGGCGAAGGCGGGUCUCUGGGCCGAUACUGACGCUGAGGAGCGAAAGCGUGGGGAGCGAACAGG
rnacentral:rRNA from 1 species